rnacentral:rRNA from 1 species
GACGAACGCUGGCGGCGUGCUUAACACAUGCAAGUCGAACGAGAGGCGAACGGGUGAGUAAUACGUGGGUAACCUGCCAUCUUUUUGGGAUAAGCAUUGGAAACGGGGUCUAAUACAGAAUAAAGGGGGAUGGGCUCGCGGCCUAUCGGCUUGUUGGUGGGGUGAUGGCCUACCAAGGCGGUGACGGGUAGCCGGCCUGAGAGGGUGUACGGCCACAAUGGGACUGAGAUACGGCCCAGACUCCUACGGGAGGCAGCAGUGGGGAAUAUUGCACGAUGGGCGGAAGCCUGAUGCAGCGACGCCGCGUGGGGGAUGAAGGCCUUCGGGUUGAAAACUCCUUUCGACAGGAACGCGGUACCUGUAUAAGAUGCACCGGCUAACUACGUGCCAGCAGCCGCGGUAAUUC